rnacentral:rRNA from 1 species
AGCGGCGGACGGGUGAGUAAUGCCUAGGAAUCUGCCUGGUAGUGGGGGAUAACGUCUCCGAAAGGGACGCUAAUACCGCAUACGUCCUACGGGAGAAAGCAGGGGACCUUCGGGCCUUGCGCUAUCAGAUGAGCCUAGGUCGGAUUAUCUAGUUGGUGGGGUAAUGGCUCACCAAGGCGACAAUCCGUAACUGGUCUGAGAGGAUGAUCACCCACACUGGAACUGAGACACGGUCCACACUCCUACGGGAGGCAGCAGUGGGGAAUAUUGGACAAUGGGCGAAAGCCUGAUCCAGCCAUGCCGCGUGUGUGAAGAAGGUCUUCUGAUUGUAAAGCACUUUAAGUUGGGAGGAAGGGCCAUUACCUAAUAUGUGAUGGUUUUGACGUUACCGCCCGAAUAAGCACCGGCUAACUCUUUGCCACCAGCCGCCGUAAUACUAAAGGUGCAGGCGUUAAUCGGAAUUACUGGGGGUAAAGCGCGCGUAGGUGGUUUGUUAAUUUGGAUGUGAAAUCCCCGGGCUCAACCUGGGAACUGCAUUCUUAACUGACUGACUACAG